UACGUAGGUGGCAAGCGUUGUCCGGAUUUACUGGGCGUAAAGAGCGCGCAGGCGGUCGUUCAAGUCGCGUGUGAAAGCCCCGGCUCAACUGGGGAGGGUCACGCGAUACUGAUCGACUCGAAGGCAGGAGAGGGUAGUGGAAUUCCCGGUGUAGUGGUGAAAUGCGUAGAUAUCGGGAGGAACACCAGUGGCGAAGGCGACUACCUGGCCUGUUCUUGACGCUGAGGCGCGAAAGCUAGGGGAGCAAACGG
rnacentral:rRNA from 1 species